UACGAAGGGGGCGAGCGUUGUUCGGAGUUACUGGGCGUAAAGGGCGCGUAGGCGGCGAUCCAAGUUAGGCGUGAAAGCCCCGGGCUUAACCUGGGAAUUGCGCUUAAGACUGGACUGCUUGAGUGCGGGAGAGGUGAGUGGAAUUCCCAGUGUAGCGGUGAAAUGCGUAGAUAUUGGGAGGAACACCGGUGGCGAAGGCGGCCCCCUGGACCGGUACUGACGCUGAGGCGCGAAAGCGUGGGUAGCAAACGGG
rnacentral:rRNA from 1 species